rnacentral:rRNA from 1 species
GACGAACGCUGGCGGCGUGCCUAAUACAUGCAAGUAGAACGCUGAAGAGAGGAGCUUGCUUUUCUUGGAUGAGUUGCGAACGGGUGAGUAACGCGUAGGUAACCUGCCUUGUAGCGGGGGAUAACUAUUGGAAACGAUAGCUAAUACCGCAUAACAAUGGAUGACCCAUGUCAUUUAUUUGAAAGGGGCAAAUGCUCCACUACAAGAUGGACCUGCGUUGUAUUAGCUAGUAGGUGAGGUAACGGCUCACCUAGGCGACGAUACAUAGCCGACCUGAGAGGGUGAUCGGCCACACUGGGACUGAGACACGGCCCAGACUCCUACGGGAGGCAGCAGUAGGGAAUCUUCGGCAAUGGGGGCAACCCUGACCGAGCAACGCCGCGUGAGUGAAGAA